AAAAAAAAUUUUUAUGGUUAAGAAAAUUUAUUAUAAAUUUAUUUUACAUAUAAAUUUUAGUGAAAAAUUUUAAUUAUUUAAAUAAUAAUUAAUUUUAAUAAAGUAGUAAUUAAUAUUAAAAAUUUAAGAAAUUAAGAUUUAGAAAUAUUAAAAUUAUUAACAAAUUUUGUGCCAGCAGUUGCGGUUAUACAAAAAUUAAAUUAAAUUUUAUUGACAAAUAAUAAAUAGAAAAUAAUAAAUAAGGAAAAUAUUAGAUUAUUAAGUGAAAUUUUAAUUUAAUUAAAUAUUAAAAUAUAUUAUGAUUUAAUAAAUUUUUUUAUAAACUAGGAUUAGAUACCCUAUUAUUAAAAAUUUAAACUAAUAAAUGUUAAAAUAGUAAAUAAUUAUUUAUUGAAACUUAAAUAAUUUGGCGGUAUUUUAGUUCAUUUAGAGGAAUCUGUCUAAUAAUUGAUAAUCCACGAAUAAAUUUACUUAAUUUUAUAGUUAAAGUUUUGUAUAUCGUUGUUAAAAAAAUAUUUUUAGAAAAAAAUAAUAUUUUAGAAUUAAAAUAAAAAAUUAAAUCAGAUCAAGAUGCAGGUUUAUAAUUAAGAAUAUGAUGGAUUACAAUAAAAUUAUUUAUAUGGAUAUUAAUUUGAAAAAAUUAAUUGAAAGUGGAUUUAAAUGUAAUUUUAAUUAAUUUAUUAAAAUGAAUAAAAAUUAAAAUAUGUACAUAUUGCCCGUCGCUUUCAUAAAUAAAUUGAAAUAAGUCGUAACAAAGUAGAGGUACUGGAAAGUGUUUCUAGAAAG
rnacentral:ncRNA from 1 species